rnacentral:rRNA from 1 species
GACGAACCGUGCGAACGUUGUUCGGAAUCACUGGGCUUAAAGGGCGCGUAGGCGGCUUGCCAAGUCAGGGGUGAAAUCCAGCAGCUUAACUGUUGAAGUGCCUUUGAUACUGGCGAGCUCGAGGGAGGUAGGGGUCUGUGGAACUUCUGGUGGAGCGGUGAAAUGCGUUGAUAUCAGAAGGAACGCCGGUGGCGAAAGCGACGGACUGGACCUCUUCUGACGCUGAGGCGCGAAAGCUAGGGGAGCAAAC